rnacentral:tRNA from 1 species
CGUGAUGAAACUUCAUGUUUGAGACUCUUAAUCCCAAGGUCCAGGGUUCGACCCCCUGACGGCCCACCA